UGUGCUGACAAGGGGUGAGAUCGUCUCUCAAGUUCUGGCCGGACUCGACCUUGGCUACAAUCCAGUGGUGUCUGCCAUUGCUGCACGGGUGGAGCCCGUCACCGUCCAGGAGUUGUAUACGCAGCUGCUAAGCUUCGACU
rfam:Triticum urartu cultivar G1812 contig1225931, whole genome shotgun sequence.